GAUCCUAGCCCAGGAGCAUCCCGUGUGUCAGAUCAAACCCCAGCAACAAAGAAACCCCCCACCCCGCGUCACCAACCCUACUCUUUGGGGACUCUCUGGGAUGGGACCCAGGGACCUCAGGGAACCAGCGCUCCUGGGGCAAGGCUAAGGCAGCCCGGUCUGGUGGCAGUGAAGUGAUGCCUCAGUCGGCUUGUGUUUGAAGAACUGCUGGGGUUAUUGUGACAAGUGAGGGCAAAGAAGGGAAAACAGAAGCAAAGAAAACCAUCUCAAAAGCCUUGGAUUUGCUGCUGUUAAAAGGCUGCUGUUCAUUUCUGAUUUGCUCAUCUUUUGCUACAAAGGAAAAAGAAAUCUAAUGAUGUGUCUACAUUUGAUGAGAAGAAAACAGUAACAACAACAGCGAAGGUGCACUUGUUUUAUUUUCUUUUUCCCUGAAAAAAAUUUUUAAUAUCCACCAGUUUAGCAAGUUGAAAGCUGUGGAGAUGUAAAAAAAGAUGUUCGCUUGUCCACAUCUAUUCACUGACUUUCAUCACUGGAAUUUUGCAGAAUCGCGUGUCAAAUUGAAAUUAUGGGAAAGAGAAUUAGACACUUGCCAAGGAACAGCAAUAUUAUACACUUUCAAGUAAGCGCCACCUAAUCCUGUAUUUGAGUGCUGAGGGGGUGUGUGCUAUUUUCCCCUAAUAAACCUGAAAGCCCUCAUUAGACAUAAAGAGGGGUGAGAACUCUAUUACUGGGCACUCUGACAAAAAUGGAAACAGUGCAUCUCUGCUCCUAGAGUCCAAGGAAAGGACACCCCGAAAAAACGCCAAGCCCUUGUGUUUUCCUUUAGAGCCCUGAGUUGGGCAGAAUUCAGAGAAAUCAACAUUUUAGAAAGCAAAAUGUUGAAACGGAGGGCGGUGGUUAGCCAAUAAAUAAAUAAACCAGGCUAGAAAUUAUUCUUCAAACCCUGCAAAUUUCCAGAUGCCCCAGAAAAUCAAUGCAAGACGCGCCCCCUCCGAGCCUAAGAUCGACAGCUCUCCUGCCAGGAAUGUUUCCAGUUUAAAAUGGAGUUGGAGAUUCCACCUCUUGGAGCACUGAGAGCCUUACCCUUUGGCCACCCUCGGAAGGGGAGGGGGGUCCCCCCACCCUCACCCACACUCCCCACCUGUUCCCUCCUCCCUUCGCUAGGUUGCUGGGGCAGGGGACAGGCAAGGGGCUGGGGUGAUUGCGACCCCGAACCUCCAGGGGGUAAGGAGAGCUGAGGUUUCGACCACACCCAGGAGGACACCCCACCAGGCCCCCAGAGGCCAGAAGAUCCUCGCCAAAGAGGAGAACCCCAUCCAAGGCAGGCACAGCUGCCUGUGCCCAGGUGGGACAAAAGGCUCCUACAGGCGAAACUGGUCCCCAAGCAAGUGUGCAAUGCUAUGGAGCAGGACACUGUCCACCAUCACUAGGGGUGUGUGUGUGUGUGUGUGUGUGUGUGUGUGUGUGUGUGUGUGUGUGAGACUGACUCGGUGCACUUGGUGCUGGUCUCUGGCCAAAGAUGUCAGCGGGGGAUAUUCACCUAUGCUACUUGGGGGGUCCGACCCCAUACCCCUAUCCCCCACUUCCGCCUCCCCCACCGCAGCAGCUCCCCAAACCCUAGGCACGCCUGCACAGGUGUGGUGCCUUUAACUGGAAAGUGCCUGAGAUCCACCCAGGAAUUGCGGCAAGGGGUGUGAGGGUAGGGAGGAUGGGGGGAUGGAAAGAAAGAUGGGGCUUUUGGAGCUCAGACAUCCCUGUCUUCCAGUAAUUGUCAUCACACUCAAUCUUUUCACCCUGACCUGCGGUAUCCAAAAAAAGCAGAGAUGGAUUCAUGGGAAAAUCGGGUUUACAAAAACGUCGGGGGGUGGACGCGGGCUCUGGGGACCUGCGCAGGCUUUGCUUAGAUUCAAAAGUAUGAUUUUAAUUUUCCUAAUGAAGGCGCGCUCUGGAGCUCAGCUGGUAAUGGCUGUGCCGAGUUUAAUAGACUUCUGUCGAACAGAAAAAGACGGAUAACUAUCGGUUAUAAGUAAUCUGCUCUAAUGCAAUUAUUUUUCUAGGUUUGAAUGUCAUUGUGUGGAGAGGGCAGGAGUGAAUUAGGGCCCCGGGGAGCGCGGACGCGGGGCUAGGAAUCGGCCUGAAAUACGAGCCCAACCUGUUUUGUGAGAUGCACUUGGGUUUGGAGGUCGGGGUCGAGGGCUUCAAAGUCCUGGGUGUGCACGUGUGAAAAUCUCUCUUGUCUCUGUCUGGGUCUCUAUCCACCCCCCCCCAUCUUCCCCUCCCUCCUCCUUCCUUCAUUCUUCCUUCUUUCCUCUAGGCUUUCUCUUCCCCUUUCUCCUCAUCUCUCCCAGGGUUAAUGUGAAUUUCCUUUUCUCCUCCUCUGUUUUGUGUCUUUACAUAUUUCAGGCAGAUCCAUUAGGUCCAGAGUAUUUCUCCAAAACACAGUCACACAGAAGUAGGCUCUUGGUCGGUGUCAACCAUUCACCGUGGAAAUCCAAUAGAAUUGGGAUGUUUUAAGAUCUUGAUGACAUGCUGUAAUAUAUCAGUGGGAUUAUUUCUAGCCAAAUACAGAGCCAGUCCAGGUCACUAUCCAAAAGUAACCCCAUCUUUGCUCUACCACAAAUUGUCAUGCGUGGUAGUUUUUAUUUGGAAUUAUCCACACUCUUCUUAGCUCUCUACAUCACUUUGCCUGGUAAACACAGCAUCAGACAAAAAGGAACUUUAAAAAAAUAAAAAUAACAUGAUUCGUAAUUUCCAUUUUUACAGAAAACAAACUGAAUCAGUGGAAGGAAAGCCUCGAACUUUCACCUGAAGGAUGGGUUUGAGAGCAUGCAGACCUGCAGGCCAAGGGGUGAGUGCUGGGCAGGACCCUGGAGCCCAGCUCUCCUGGCUGAACCCCUGCACCCAGCCACUCCAGCCCCACUUCCUCCACCAACCUCUCCCUCUGGGUCCUAGGGAACAAAGAAAGUUCUUGGGAUUGACUAAAAGGGUUAAAUUUACCCUGAAUUAUAAGUGUCUUAGCUGGAUCUGGUGUAUCUCUGACUGACCUGGCCUAUAGUUCUUGUGCUCACUCUUUCUCUCUCAUCCCCCCCUCUGUUAUACACGCAGACACACAGACACACACACACACUCACUCGUGCACAGAAAGCACACUGACUUCUCUGACUCAGUCAUACCCCAUUCUCUCUUGCCUCUGCAGCAACUCUUCAAAAAAAGAGAAAGGAAAAAUAUCAAAACAAAAACAUAUCUGCAAAACCCUUCUGGUCUCUCUGGCUGAGGAAGAGUGUAGUCACUGACCCACAAGGUGCCUGGCAGGAAGACAUCCACCUGCAGGGUGAGGGUUACAAGAGGUGGCCAUUUUCCCCUUCCUCCCUGACCCUGGCUGCUGAGAAGGGAAUGAGGAAGAAAUCCAUCUUCACGUCCCAACCACGCCCGGGACUUAGAGAAGCAGAACAGGGCAGGCACCUCCUAGCUGCAUAGGUGUGACUGUCAAGGGUCCCACACUGGCAGGCAGAAAGUCUGCCACCAGAAGAGUCAUUCCCCAACUUCUUUGGCCCUCAGCCUACAGCACCCCUUAAAGCUGGAGAAAGUUGAUAGGCGAUGCUCAGCCCGCUCCAGCAAGUUUCCCCUCUAUCAGUCUCUGCUAGGAUGGGGCAUCAGGGCCGGUUGGUGCCACGGAUAGAAGGCCCACUUCUAUCUCCAGGAACAGAUUGGAAACCGAGAAAAGGGUGACUGUCCCUCUGCCCUCCCUUCAAGGGACUCCUUUAGGAAAACGGCUGUGUUGUAUUGAUGACCUAAGAGAGUAACAGCAAAGACCCAGGAAAGUCACCACAAGCUUUAGGUGGGUCGAAUUCUGCUUAGGAAAAGUUGCUGGGAGAAGAGAGGAGAGAGACUAUAUUACCCAACAGUGAGUUUUCCAAGACCCCCCACCCCAGCCAAACAAGGUUGAGAAGGGCUUGAGAGAGAGAGCCAACAACCCUCCCUACUCCCCAGGAAGAAAUCUAGCCAGAGUAAGAAUCACAGCCUCCAAACCGAGAACUCCUUACAGAGAUGUCUUGGUGUCCCAGCCUUGGCCUGCUGGUCCAAAGUUUGUGAGCUCUCUCAGUCCAGUGUCACCCCUGAAGCAACAGAUUAGACUCGGUCUGGGGAAACAUCAGGAGGCCUUGUUAAGGAAUUAAGUUUACUUUUCUCUCAUUUACUCCCCUAUUUGAAACAUCAAUAGAAAAAGCAAAACAAAAUUUUUGCAGUAAAUCAAAUGUGUAAUGAUAGUCACACAGAAUUAAGGUGGAAAAAAAAAUAAGGUGUAAACUGUGCUAAAGCAUUUUUAAAGGACUGCUCUGAACAGAGCAUGCUCUUAGGAAACACAACACUUAAAUAAAUAUAAGCUUUAAGGAUAAAGAACUUUUAGAGUGCCUGGGAGUUCCCUCGUGGCUCAGUGGGUUAAGGAUCCAGCAUUGUCAGUGCAGCUGCCCAGGUUGGGCUCAUUCCUAGUCCGAGAACUUCCACGUGCUGCCAAAAAAAAGAGUGCCCAACGUCCCCUUACAUUACCUUCAUAUAAAUAUAAAUGGGGAGGAGUCUCAAUGAGGAGAAUCAAAUGAUAAAGGCUCCUAAAACAAAUUAUCUGAUACACAAAAUUAACACAGCAUUGCAUCCUUAAGGCAAGUUAGAGGCAAAUCGCUGACUGCAAAGUUAAGCUUUUCCUGCUUAUUCAUUGAUCCAGGUCUCUUCAUUCUAAUACAGAUUGAAUAAUCUGCUCAAAGGGGUGAUGUGGCCCACCGACCACAGAGCCAGGGCAGUUGUUUAUACUUGAAGCUUAUCCAUCAGCCUUAGGACUUUUGAAUGUUCAAGUGAAAGUGUAAAUAGAAUAAGGUCACAGGUGAUUGACAAGUUCAAGUUACUUAGCUCAAUUAUCAAAAUUUUAUUUCUAAAUUAUGUUCAAUUUGAUUUUCCUGCUUGGCUAUAAAUGACCUUAGAAAAUCCAAUGGGAAUGGACAUUUUACACCAUGUCCCAUGUUCCAUGAUUUAUUUGUAAAGUCAUUUUGUGAUGUACACCUCCUUUAACGCUUCUGUAGAGACCAAGUCUUCACAAUUAGAUUUAGAAACACGGCUAUCAUCUUAAUUCAAAGGCAGUCACUUUAAAGACACACUAAUCACUACAUUUGAACAACUUUCUAAAAUGUUGCUAAAUUCCUAAGCGCAGGCAGAACCUGCAGACUGUUUAGAUUCAAAUUCUCUGGAUAUUAGUGUGCUAUAUUUAAUGGCUAUCUAUCUAAACAGUAGAUAAGAGUGCAAUUUGUAAAUAUAUACCCUACAACUCACUUUCCGCAUACUAUCUCAAAGUUCUCCUAUGCAUUUAUUUAAUAGAUAGUGAAGCUCUUCAGAUCAAGGCUCCUGCCGCCACAUCUGGAAAUGCUUCCUUGACUCUAAUCUGCCAUCCUCCACCUCCCCCCCACCGCAAGCUCCCUCCAGCCACCAGUGAGAGAAAUAGCUGAAGCCUCUUCUUCCACCAUUAUAUGAUAACAUCAGCUUUUAAUCAGCAAGAGGCACUCCUAUUUAAAUUUACAGGAUGACUCUUUCUUUCAUUUAUCUUUUCUUUUGGAGGAAAGUGAAACAAGAGCACCACCCUUAUUAAUUAUAAGAUUGAUGGGGUGAAAAAAGCCAAAUGAAUUUGGCUUGCAAAUUAUUAGUAGAGGUAUGAAUAUUUAUGACUUUGCCAGGAACUGCAGUCAUGAACCCUGGGUAUCAAGCUUGGGAGACAGUCAGGCCAGUGCAUUCAAUGAGGGUUCGGUCUCCCCAAAUCUGACAUGACAGAAAUGGAAACUUCUAAGUGAGACCAUCCACCCGCCCCCCGCCCCCCUUUUGGGGGCUAAUCUUGCUAAAUAUGAACUUAGUUCCAGUGGCCUCCAUUAUAAAUUUUAAAACUAUCUUUGAAGGUGAAAGCAGAUACCUUUAAGUUUUGUGAAGAAAAUCUCUGUGCUUUUCCCACUUGAUAGUCAUUGAUGCUUUAAAUAGAAUUUAUCUGCAAAAUAUUUGUGACAUACUUUUAAAAAUUUUAAAGCUAUUUUUAUUCCGUGUAAAAAUAUUGGAAACCUAAAAUAUCCUGGAUGUAAAGAUGAUUGAAAGGAACACAAUCUAAGUUAGACACAGAGAGAAAUGAGUGGGGAAGAAAACAGCAGGGGAAGAGAGAUGAGAAAACAAGUUUUCUCCUUCUUUGCUUGUUUUCCUUUUCCUGCACCAGACUUACAUUUUAGUCCCAAGGAGAGGAAAUUUAAAUGCAAGGUAGAGGAAAAAAGGCUCAAGGUAGAAAGGGAAAGGAUGAGGACAAGGACUUAAUAAUUCUAUAAAAGACAAAUUAUACCCUCCUCUUUUCCUUCUCUUGACUCUACAUUGGAGGGUUUUACAGUGCUUUGGGAAAGGAGCUGAGAGAAAAAAAAAAGAAAAGAAAAGAAAAAAAGAAAAGAAAAAAGAAAACAAGAAAAAAAAAAAAA
rnacentral:lncRNA from 1 species